CCACAUCAAUAUUCUCGGCAACGAAAAAGCCGACACAUUAGCCAAGGAGGGGACGUCACUCAAGGAAUUAGACUAUUUAGAAUACAGCAGCCAGGAAUUUACAAGCAUAGCUAAAACAAAGAUCAAAGAAGCAUGGAAAACCCGUCUACAACAAGAAAACACCCAUCGCUAUCAAAUAGAUAGCAAUCUUGUCGACAAGGUUUACAUCAACCAUCCUUCCAUCAAAAUAUGCAAACUAAUCACUAGGCUUAAAACAGUAAAUGUAAUCAGAGAUUUCACCUAUACACCAAUAAAAUGCCCGUGUGGACAAAUUGCAACCACACCACACCUGCUAAUCAACUGUAAUCAACUAUACGAUGAACGUCAACCAAUGAUCAAAAAACUAACGGAGAGGGGAAAAACUCUCUGUCUUAAAUCCCUACUCUCUCCAUCACCUAAUGAGAGAUACUGGACAUCUCAGCUUAUCUGGGACUUUGUUGAAAAAAUAGGAAUGACAAAAUACAUAUAACAAACAAAACCAACCAAUAUCAACACAGUAGAACGAAAUCGCAAAAAUGUCCCCUCGAGGGAAGCGCAAAUCGUUCUACGACACAGAUAAUAUUACAUUAAAACUAAUUAACCAAGCACAUUCACACAAAAUCACACAGCAGGAUGAUGAGUAAAAACGUCCUCUCGAAGGAAGCUCAUUCAUUCUACACCUCUAAAAAUACUUGGCAGCAGGGUAUUGGCGCAAAACUGUCCCCACCGAGGGAAACGCUACAUACCCUGAAAACUCAAUGGAUUAUAUCAUCUUUAUUUUAAUUCGACUAAACAAAACAUUGAUUGUAGAUCUAAAUAAUCAACCAUAUAUGCUUUAUUGUACCUUAUGAAAUUUGAAUAAAAUUAGUUUAUAGAUCAUAUUUUUUAUUACUUCAUGUCGAUUAAAUAAAUAUUGAUUGUAUAUUGAUUAACAUAUAUGCCAUAACGGAUUUUUACCACUUGUAAUUAACAAAUAUUGUAACUGAUUGUCUAUUAAUAAAGAUUGACUAUAUAAACGGAACUCAUUACCCCUAGUACUACCACUAGUAAUUAACGAAUACUGCAACUGAUUAUCGAUUUAUCAUCUCUCAAUCAAAAACUCUACGGCAAGCCGAGCGUCUUGGCAAUCAAACAAACAGCCGAGACCCAGCUUACACAAAUCAAUCACGCCCAGGGUGUCAAACAGAUGGUAUAAAUUAACUCACGAAAAAAUGCAAAUCAUUCAUCGUCAUGGCCAGUAAAUUGAACGUCGCACUAACAGGAUCUUCGUAUAUGACGCAUCUCCAGAGGUACGCCAGGAAAACCAACCAACCAAUCCACCAUCACCACAACAUUCAGAACUACGGAGUAGGUGGGGCCACAGUUGCCAAAUGCAGAAGUAGGGAGCUGGAUUCUUCCUUCUGAGAACCAACAACAAAGGAAUGAACCAUAGAAACAAAAUACAAACAAUACCACCAUACCGGACAACAUAUCCAAAUGGAAGGAAGAAUGGACCAGGCCCUAAAACUCACCAACAAGCCCCAAGGAAGAGUUGCACCGCCCUGCCAUUCGACCGGACAGAACGACCUGACCAACCAAGAUAACAAAAUAGAUAUAUAUAUAUGUUCGUCCACCUUCAUGUAUACAAAUGUCUCUGUCUGUGUAAAUGUUCGUCCAUGUCCAUGUCUGUCCUACCAUAUGUCUGUAACCGUCCCAGUUUGCACUUGUUACACCUGUUAAAUCACGUCUCGUCUCUGUAUAUUCGUUGCACAUAUAUAUCUAUUAAAAAAAAAAAAAAAAAAACCUAAUUAAUC